rnacentral:lncRNA from 1 species
GUUGGGGAAUGUGAAGUCUUCCCACACCCCUUGAUUGCUCAGCACACCCCUGUGGACCCCCUUCCUUUGGGUCAAGAGCAUUUUUCUAACUACACCCCCAAUUUUCAGUCUGUUUUUGUCUUUUGUAUAUUUUAUUUAUUAUUUUCUUCUUAUUAUUUUAUCUAUUUAUUUUUGUUCUUUAUUUUAUUUGCUUUAGUUUUUUUUAAUUUCUUUACCUCUUGGAUUGAUAGUGUACACUCUCCCUUGCAUUUU